AAAGUGUUCACCUGAGAACCUCCAGGUAAACAGGAAAGUGUCCGCCUGGACGGAGAACCUCCAGGUAAACAGGAAAGUGUCCGCCUGGACGGAGAACCUCCAGGUUGACAGGAAAGUGUUCACCUGGACGGAGAACCUCCAGGUAGACAGGAAAGUGUUCACCUGGACGGAGAACCUCCAGGUAGACAGGAAAAGUUUAAAGUCCAGAUGAACGUCUCUUUUACACUUAAUUAUUCUGUUUGUUCGCAAGAGAUUAUACAAAAUAAUGACUAGAAAUGUUAAAAAGAAAAGGUUCAUAUUUGUAAAUUAUCUUCCUUAAAUAUUAAUUCUUGUCUUUUGGGUUGUUAAGUAAGACAAUCAAUUUUGUUAAUCAUUUUGUGUCUAGAAUGCCUUUGUGGUUCAUUACAAAAAUGAAUAAUUUAAAGGCUGAUAAAUUCACUCUGUAUCUGUACUACUGUAAUAUUUGUACUUAAGACAUAUAUCUUCACCAGUAUAAUCACCUCUGCCAAUUUAUAUUGUAGUUAUAUAUAUUUAUAUAUAUAUGUAUAUCCCUGCUACAAUGUACUUUUCGUCUUACAUUAUGAAUUAAGAACCUGCCCGAAACACUGCGUGUUAGUGGCUUUGCAAGAAUGUACAAAUACCAAUCUUAUGUAAUCUCCAACCCAUUGUACCUUCUUGUGAAUAAAUGACUAUUAUUAUUAUUAUUAUUAUUAUUAUUAUUAUUAUUAUUAUUAUUAUUAUUAUUAUUAUUAUUACAAAAAUAUCUCGUUACUGAGAUAGAGUGAGUGGAGUCUGGCUUUUAAUAAAUCUUAUAAUGUAAACAAGGUUAAUAUGACACUUUGUUCAUUUUGGUGUGGACACUUGGGUACACUUGGUUUACAAGUGUACCAAACUUGGGGUUGAUACUUAUAUUCAUACUUACACGAGAAGACUAACUUAACAGAACUUUACUCGAUUUAAAUAAUAAAUAUUUUAAGUCUGAUGAUAGUUAUUCUAUUCUAUUUAGUUUAGGUUCCUUUCCUGGUAUACAGUGUAGUCUUCCUCUGGUGAAGACUUCAUCUGGUAUAUUGGGUGAAAUGGGUGCCAAUUUCACCCAUUAGGGUGAAAUAUAGUCAGUGGAACAUUCAUAUAUAAUUUGAAAUUUUUUAAUUAUAUUUAUAUUCUUUGACAGUUAAUUUUCCAUUAAAACUUUAAUGGACUUUAAGUGUCUGCUCAGUUUGGGCCACAACCUGCAGGCGGUUAUGUUUGUUUAUAUGUGAGACUUAUUCACAAAUGUUCCAUUGUAUGAAACUAUUGACAUUUGCUUUCAUAUUUUGUCUUCUAAUUUAGAUAAUGUUAUAAUGUUGUUGGUAUUUGUAAAGCCAAAUUAAAGCUGCUGUUAAGGAGUAUUAUUUAACAAUAAAUAGUAGUGUCAAACAGAUGGUGUAGACCUGGCUCCUAUGAGACCAUAUUUGGCUUAUGUACUUUCAUAACAUAAUGAACACAUUUGACAUGAUGAUUUUCCUUUUACACUUUAAUGCGGUUCUUUUAUAAAAUAUAUGUUGAUGAUGCCUAUUUGUUAUUAAAUGAUGCUUGUCAUA